rnacentral:lncRNA from 1 species
AAAGUUCUAAAUAAUCACUGCUUAACAAGGCUAGAUUGAAGCUAAUUUACAAGACAUCUUUUUAACAGAGAACACUGUGCAAGGAAAACAAGGAUGGCCCCAGAUUAAUGUUCUUCCAUUCUACAGACAUGCCAAAAAAUCAUAAUGCCAUCACAUGCAAACUGUUUCCAGAGCCUAAGAAGCUUUAUAUCCUAUUCCAUUAAAACUUGCGGCCCUCUCAUAGCCACCUUUCAACAAAAUCAUAAUUGAGCUUCCACUAAUAAGAAUUCACAAAAAAUCACACACCUUUCUCGAUCACAAAAUUUGUUGAUGAAAAGGUAAAUGAAUAACCUACCAAAUCAGUAAGCUAGUCACAUAUGCUAGACCCAUAUAUGUAACGGACUAUACACGCAAGGAGGUAAAGAAAC